AUCUAAGCGGGAAGCGAGCCCUGAGAUGAGUCUUCCCUGAUACUUUAAGUAUCCUAAAGGGUUGUCGGAGACUACGACGUUGAUAGGUCAGGUGUGUAAGUGCUGUGAGGCAUUGAGCUAACUGAUACUAAUUGCCCGUGAGGCUUAACCAUACAACACCCAAGGGGUUU
rnacentral:rRNA from 1 species